GUGCUCACUUUGGCAACACAUAUGCUAAAAUUAGAACGAUGCAGAGAAGAUUAGCAUGGUC
rnacentral:snRNA from 1 species